GACGAACGCUGGCGGCGUGCUUAACACAUGCAAGUCGAACGAAGAGCGCUGGAAGCUUGCUUCUAUCACUCUUAGUGGCGAACGGGUGAGUAACGCGUAAUCAACCUGCCCUUCAGAGGGGGACAACAGUUGGAAACGACUGCUAAUACCGCAUACGAUCUAACCUCGGCAUCGAGGAAAGGUGAAAGGUGGCCUCUAUGUAUAAGCUAUCACUGAAGGAGGGGAUUGCGUCUGAUUAGCUAGUUGGAGGGGUAACGGCCCACCAAGGCGAUGAUCAGUAGCCGGUCUGAGAGGAUGAACGGCCACAUUGGGACUGAGACACGGCCCAGACUCCUACGGGAGGCAGCAGUGGGGAAUCUUCCGCAAUAGACGAAAGUCUCACGGAGCAACGCCGCGUGAGGGAUGACGGCCUUCGGGUUGUAAAGCUCUGUUAAUCGGGACGAAAGGCCUUCUUGCGAAUAGUGAGAAGGAUUGACGGUACCGGAAUAGAAAGCCACGGCUAACCACGUG
rnacentral:rRNA from 1 species